CUUUCUGUCUGAGUUAGGAGGUGAAACCAUUUGGAAGAGCCAUUGUAAAGGGGAGGGCUUUGGGCUAUGCAUACUCCUCAUAUCCAGAUUCAACAGAUUCUUAUUCUUCACUCCAACACCUUCCCUCUUGCAAGUUGCUAACACACCGAUGUCCCAAGGGAGUACCUAAAAUACCAGUCUGCCCAGGUAUGUUAACGGGGGAAAUCUACAAGUCCCAGAGAAGGAAUGAUAAAGUAUACCUGGAUUUGGAAGGGAAUGCUCCGCUGUUGUAAGAUUCAACCAGUUGUUUGAAUCCAGUUGAGGCUUUCCAAAGUUCACCUAUGACUAAUUGAAGCCCUAAUAAAGGCAAAACCUCUGA